GUGGGGAUUGGGCACCAAGUCCAGGCUCCCCCCGUGCUAUCCAGGGCGGCUCCUUCAUGGAAGAUGUUCAACACAUCCAUAGGCAUGGGUGGAUUCGCUCCCACCGGGGAAACUUCCCCACAUACUGGUGCCCCGUGGAUUUGGCGUGACCCAGAGCGCUCUCCUUGGCUUUAUCUCAGCGGCCAACAGCCCGCACUUAGCACCGGCAAGACCUGGGAGGAGCGGCCGUUCCCUCAUGCCAGCGAACGCCGCCGGGAUUGCCGAGCCUGGCGGCGUAGAGCAACCCGUGACGGCCUGCGAGGGGAGGACGGCGACCGUCCUGGAGACCGGCUGAACGAUUACGUGUUCAGACCUGAGGCAAAAAUGAAGUGACUGAACGUGUCUUAGUGGUUUCUUCAAACGGAAACGGUUGGAAAUUCAUGGAUGUGAGGGGCUGGAUCAUCAGGUCCAGCCCCCCGCGCUUGGGCAGGAAAGACCGCUGGGGCAGGUGACCCCGGCAAGGUGGGCGUCCAGACGCUUUUUGAAGAUAUCCAGAAUAUGUGAUUGUACCACUUCGAUGGGGGGGAGUCUGUUCCAGACCCUGGACACUCGAGUUGUAAAGAUUUUUUUCCUUCUGUCUAAUUUCCAUCGGUCUUCUAGCAAUGUAUGACCGUUAGUCCUAGCCUGGGGAGCCCUGGUGAACAGACGUUCUCCCAGUCCCUGAUGUCCGCCCCUUAUAUACUUAUAGGCAGCCACCAAGUCCCCUCUGAGUCUUCUCUUCUCCAGGCUGAAGACCCAUGUCUCAGCCUCUCAUCAUAUGGCCUGCUCUCCAUACCUCUAUCCAUAUACACGGCCCUCCUUUGCACCCUUUCAAGCCUCUCCACAUCCUUCCUGAAGUGCUCCAGUACUCCAGCUGCGGCCUCACCAAGGCCAGAGAAAGCAGGUGGAUGACAUCCUUAGUCUUGUUUGAGAUGCAUCGGCAUGCAAGUGUUUGGUUUGCUUUGCCGGCUAUGGCAUUGCAUUCCCUGAACGUUCAGCAGCGAUCCAUGCCACGUCAGAAAAGCAGACCUGGCCGAUGUGCUGAAGUCUAGAGACCAUCCCAUGCAAGAGGAAGGAGCAUACAGACAGGGAGAAGGACAUCACACCAUACCCACAGCCAAAUUUUUUUGGUAGUAUUCCUGGAGAUAACAUCUGAACGCUGGACUACGAAGCAGGAACUUUGGGGCCGGUUCCUGCCUGGAAGUCCUAAUGCAAAAUAGGAUUAGAGGGAGAGGACACGAAAAAUGAUACCUGGCUGAAGCAUGUCCACAUUUAAACUGGUAAUAAAAUGACAGACCAGAAAUUAAUCUCUCGUUAACACUGAUUUUCCAUAUUUUGUUGGCCCGUGGUGAACCUUUGUUGGCUUAUCUGUGCUUUCCCCUCAUCUGUUAUCCCCUUUUGCUCUGAGCUGUCCAUGAUGUAACGAUUGUGAUAGUUCUUCAGCAACUGCUGAUGCUUCCAGGCUAGACCAAAAAAAAUCUACAUUGCUUAAAACAAAACACAUCCAAGCCUGUCAGAGGAAAUUUUUGGUUGAGGUGGCUUCUCCAGCUUUUCAAGUCUUUGUCAUUUGCAUGAAGGAUUGCUCCCACACUGUUCCCCUUUUUUGCGCCUCUCCGUUGUGUAUGAGUUGGUGAAGCAUCAAACACAAACACAUUCCAUCACAAGUGACUCUUCUUUGACACAUCACAGAACAGGAAUUAGGCCAUGAUAUUGCACAGUAUGGGUGCUUUUGGAUUGCCAUUGGAGGGCAAAUGAACAAGGAGCUCAUGGAGGAGAAAAAGGAAUACUGUUAUCCAACAGAGCUCUAGGCUAUGAGCCAAUUUUCAAUCAGCAGUUCUAUUGCCCCCAUUCUGAGAUGGGGAAUGAAUGGAUAGAGUACUCCAUGCCUACGACCAGGACAAUACCUUUGGAAAGGAAAUGUUGUAAUGUAAGUUUUAAAAAGGUGAAUCCCUUGACCACUUGAGCCAACUAAUUUGUAUCUGGAACUCAAUGACUUAGACUUAAGUCUGGCUGACCAGCCAAUAACAUGGAGGGGGAGCACCAACAUACAGCCAUUUAGCUCCAGCUGAGACCCUCCAUCAGUUUUUGAGGACAGCCAGAUGAAAAACCCUGCCAAGAUGUAGUGCCUUCAGUCUGCAGGGCCACGCUUUAAAGGCACAAGGAAGAUCUAAGUAUCGGAGAAGCGUGGCGAGAAGGGACCUCCACGGGUCAUCUAGCGACAGCGGUCCUCAUCCUGUUUUGUACCAGGACCCGUUUGGAAGCAAACAUCCCGAGCCAGUCAAUAGUGCAAGAGAUGCACUCUUCUGGUUCAGGACCUGCCAGGUGAUGGAAAUGGGAGUCUCCUUCCUGGCAAGCGAAACUCGGGGGCAUCUGAACCGCAAGCCUCUGGGCACAUAGGACACCCGCCAAAGGGUUUGGAAACAUCAUGAAGCCCCCAGCGUGGGUGGAGGAUGUUUGCCAGUAGUAGGGCCGCUUAUGGUUCUGGACUCUUGGAUGUGGAAUUAGUUUUGGCUAAUUUGGCCAAAUUAAAUAAAUAAAAAAAGAGCCACCAGCUUCUCCAAGGAUGACGACUAGAGGUCGUCUUUCAAAUGUCCGAGUCCACCCACGGCACCCCUGCAAGGGUGGCUGCCUCCUGCUUUAGUGGGACCCCGCUGCCUCCCCGCUUCGUGGCACAGGAGACUGGGCAGCAUGGACCGACGUCCGACACAGUCGAGGGCAACCCUUGCGUGAUGUUCUUAUGCCAUUUGGGUUGGUCUAAUAAAAGAUAUCAGAUUCACCCAAGGAACCUUGUCUGUCUUAUGUCCAGGCCCGUAUCUCCCCCCUCCAAGCCCAUGGGCACAUGUAGGAUUUUGAAAAGCAGGGCGCGCAUCCUCGCAUAGACACCAACCCGUCUUUUUCUCCAGCUGAAGAGAAACGCGAUGGUUUACAAAUACAGCACUCUACUAUUCAGUUUUAAGAUCAAAGCAAAAACAAAAAUAACUAUUGGACCACGUGCUAAUUUGCUAGAUUCUGUACGAAGUUAAUAAAAAAACAAACACAACAAAAUAGGCAAGUGAUACUGCAUCAUUAGGUCUGUAGUCAUUAUAGUUAAAUGUAUGUCUCGAUUUUUCCUAAUAUUUGAGUUGGUCUAAUAAAAGAUAUCGGGUUUACCCAAAUAA